CCUACGGGGUGCAGCAGUGAGGAAUAUUGGUCACUGGACGAGAGUCUGAACCAGCCAAGUAGCGUGAAGGAUGACUGCCCUAUGGGUUGUAAACUUCUUUUAUAUGGGAAUAAAACAGGGUAUGCAUACCCUCUUGUAUGUACCAUAUGAAUAAGGAUCGGCUAACUCCGUGCCAGCAGCCGCGGUAAUACGGAGAAUCCGAGCGUUAUCCGGAUUUAUUGGGGUUAAUGGUAGCGUAGGUGGAUUGUUAAGUCAGUUGUGAAAGUUUGCGGCUCAACCGUAAAAUUGCAGUUGCAACUGGCAGUCUUGGGUACAGUAGAGGUGAGCGGAAU
rnacentral:rRNA from 1 species